AGGCUUUUUCUUCGUAUACUUUACCUAGACCUAUUGAAGCACAAAGGGAAUGGUCUUCUUUUUCUGUAUUCAAUCAAGAGAAACCCAUCUAAUAAAAUAAAAGGAAUAUACCAACACUGAGAUAUUAGAAAUCAAAAUACCUAUCCAUUCUCUUACAUUUGAAUACUUGUUCUAUUCGAAAUCACUAAGAAAAAAACGACAAACUCCAGAUU
rnacentral:lncRNA from 1 species